CGGGUGUUUUACUCAUCCAGGGAGAGAAUAAAAAAUGUGGCACUCGUUAUUUUGUGGGAUAUUUAAUCCCUUCAACUAAUUUUGCGUGAAACGGGCUUUAGGUUCCACUCCCUCCUCUUUUUCUGGUUUUGUUUUUCAACUCUUCCCCACCUUCUUCUCUUCCCUCUUGGAAAAAGGAAUGAAAACAAGAAAUGAAAGAUUUCCCCUUCUCCAUCCUUUAACUUCUCUCAAUCCUCUCCCCUUUUCUUCAGGUGGGUCCCAGGUAACCUUUGACAUGUUUUCCAAUCUCAAGGCCAGCACUAAGGCUCCUCAUUCCAUACUUCAGCACCAAAACCGUGAGCUGGCUUUAAAAAACGCUGAGCAUGCAGCAGCUCCCAAUAAAUUUCACACCCCAGCAGAAGUCCUGUUGUCGGGAACUGUUUUCAUCCCCGCAUUUGCAGGUUGCCUUCAUUACUUCCUUCCCUUGGGUCACAAAAAGGCUGUUAGUGACAUCUCCCAUUUACCAGGUGCGGCAGUAUAAAUUCAGGGUAACUCCACUGAACUUAAUGUGCUUAAUGUAGAUACUCGGAAUCCGCACUGCUGCAAAUGAGAUCAGAAUUUGUCCCGGCCACAGGAGCCAGAGGGAGGUCAAAUGCUUUACAUACAUUACCUCCUCUUCAGCAUGCUAAUGAUGUGCAAUUUCAAAUGCUUUUCCCCAGACGCUGCAGUUCCAGGAACGGCACUAAAAGCAUUAAAAGGAAGCACAGCAGACCCCGCCACCGAAUGCCCAAUGAAGCUACACACCUGAUUGAGGCAAACAGUAGGAAGGUGAGCUGGGAGGGGGGAAAUUCAGCAGUUCCCAAUAAAACAGUCACAAAUCCACCCUUGCUGAUGUCACUGCUCCCAUUCCUGGCUACCCAGAACACGCAGCACUGGCAGCAGUUACAAUCAACGCUGGCCAUGAGCAUCUGUUUAUGAGGGUGGAUAGUGAUAGGACAAUGGGGAAUGGUCUUAAACUGAGACAGGGGAGGUUUAGGUUGGAUAUUAGGAAGAAGUUUUUCACCCAGAGGGUGGUGACGCACUGAACAGGUUGCCCAAGGAGGCUGUGGAUGCCCCAUCCCUGCAGGCAUUCAAGGCCAGGCUGGAUGUGGCUCUGGGCAGCCUGGGCUGCUGGUUGGUGACCC
rnacentral:lncRNA from 1 species